rnacentral:rRNA from 1 species
GACAGAGGAUGCAAGCGUUAUCCGGAAUGAUUGGGCGUAAAGCGUCUGUAGGUGGCUUUUUAAGUCCGCCGUCAAAUCCCAGGGCUCAACCCUGGACAGGCGGUGGAAACUACCAAGCUGGAGUACGGUAGGGGCAGAGGGAAUUUCCGGUGGAGCGGUGAAAUGCGCAGAUAUCGGGAGGAACACCAAUGGCGAAGGCAGCUCGCUGGGACGGUACUGACGCUGAGACGCGAAAGCGUGGGGAGCAAACAGGG